AAGUAACCCUCGAACCCCUAAUUAACCCUAUAACUUUAGAGCAACUCAAAUGAGGUACAGCCCAUUUGAUACAGGAUACAACCUUCACUAAUGGCUAACAUUCAACUUUAUACCCCAAAGUUGGCCUAAAAGCAGCCAUCUUUAAAAAAGCGUCAAAGCUUAGCCGUACUGUAUAAAUUUAAAAAUACAUAUUGACCCCUUUAACCGUAUUGAGAAUUUCUAUAAACCUAUAGAACCUUUUAUGCUAAAACUAAUAACAAGAGGAAACUCCUCUCUCAAAUGCUAACCUAAGCCGGCAAGAACCCCCCACCGGCAAUCAACAGACAUAAAGUAGUAACUUCCCCAGAAAACCCUACUUUCCACUAACUGUUAACCUAACACUAGAGCAUUACAAGAAAGAUUAAAAGAAAAAGAAGGAACUCGGCAAACACUAGCCCCGCCUGUUUACCAAAAACAUCGCCUCUUGUUCUCAUAAGAGGUCCAGCCUGCCCAGUGAUUUAUUC
rnacentral:rRNA from 1 species